AUGAAUCUCUUAUGCUGGAAUUGUCGCAGGAUUGGCAACGCCAAGACAAUUCAAGAGCUGCGCAAACUCGCGAGAAAGUUUGCCCCUAAAGUGCUCAGAAUAGUUGAAACUCAGAUUAGUGGAGAAAGAGCUGAAAAUUUAAAGAGUACUUUAGGUUUUGAUAAUUCUUUUGCUGUUGACUCCUCCGGUAGAAGCGGAGGUUUAGCUAUUUUUGGAAUGAUGAAAUAA
rnacentral:rRNA from 1 species